UCAAGGCUAAAUAAGGCAGACUUAAAACUAAAUAAACCCUAACAAAUAAACAAAAUAAUUCAAGAAAAACUAAGCCUAACUAAACUAGUCUAGACCUAGCAAAAAAAUUAAAGAAAAAAAAACAAAGGUAGAGCGUAGAGACUAUCAAAACUUAAUGAAACUUAGAAGAAUAAUUAAAGAGAAUUAGAAGAAAAAAUACGGUUACGGAAAGAGUUGAGAGAGGAGUCGAAAUCAAAGAGAUAGUAAAAGUGGUUAAACAACUUGAAACAGGAUAGAAUAGGAUCAUUGAAAGUAUAAAGAGUAUGACGUGUUUCAAUUGACAGAGGAUCACGUGGACGAAGGGAACGAGAGGGAACAUACAACGAGAUGGACGAGAGUAAAUCAGGAGCAUCAGUAUCAGAAAGUAAUAAGCCACCAAUAAAACAUGCCUGAGACACUUGGCGGCGGAAGCUUAAAGAGUGAAGAUUGAAUAACUGCAAUCGCGUUUCAUAGGGAGGUAGUGAGGCAGCACCGAACAAACGACGAAAAGCAACCCUGGUAAAAAGGCGCUGAAUGGUAAAAAGAGCGCUCUGGUCUAGUGCAGGCAGUUUUCUGCAGUCCACGGUGAUACUACACACAGCCACGCACUUGGCGAUACACGCUGUGUGGUGCGGUGCGGUGGACGUUCAGAAUUCAGUGGUGCAAAUACACACAUGCACACACUUGGCGACACACGCUCUGCUGUGCGGUGAGGUUUGUGUUCUGUGUCCAGUGGUGCAAAUAUACACACACACACGUACUUGGCUACACACGCAGUACGGCGCGGUUGGCUUGACAGAAGCGCAUACACACAUUCACGCAGUAGGCUUUACUUUCAGUCCAGUGAGGUUGGUGCUCGUGUGGUGUUUCAGCGCUUGGCGGAUAAACCCCGUAAAAAAUGGAGUUUUGUUUAAUUUGAGGUAAGUAAAAGUGAUUAAAAUUAUCAACCAACAUCCCCCCUUCUAAUUAAUAUCAUUUUUCUUCCAUUUCAUGUGUGUUUCACGGCGAACGGAGACAUCAAAAACCUUUGGCUGUGUCGUAGUGUUGGAGCAGUGGCCCGUACAGUGCAGCGAGAAAAACCAGGAGCAACAGCGAUGAGGAGCAGAAAGUGCUGUGCUGAAUUUGUUUUUUUUCACUGUGCGAGUGUAAAAAGUGUUUUUUUUUUAAAUUAUGUGCGUUGAUUUAGAAUUAAGUGCAGUGAUUGUUGUGCAAGUGUUGUGUUUUUUUUUGUAUUCUAUGUAGGUUCGAUAUUCAAUAAAUCGAAUUACGAUAGUAUAAUGGUGUGCACUGUAUCAUUUCGGAAAGAAAUCCUGGCAAAAAAGGGGGAGGGGACUAAUUAAACGAAGGUUCGUGCAGACCCCCGUUCGGGUUUUGCUUCGGCUUCGGGUUUGCUUCGGCUUCGGGACCCGACGGAUCACUUGAAUAAUUUCGCCAACUCAAGUUCUUUUUCAAGCGCGUAUUCAAGCGAUCUCUGAGUGCUGGUGCCCGGUGGGUACCCAACAGUCAAAAGCCGAAGAUUUUAUAUUGACCUUUCACUUUUUCUAUCUGUCUCUCGCUCUAAUUUGAGCGAUUUUCCCCUGAUGAGUGUCCCCGAGCCUCCUCGUGUGGUUGUUGUUGUUGGAAGUUGAAACCGAACCCCCUUCGUGCGCUGCCAAAAUCAGCGAAGAACGAAAUCGAGUGGCUCAAGCGAAAAAACGAAAAAAAAUGACGAACGAGCCCAGAUAGCAAAGCCGAAGGCCUUUGUAUGGGAGCCAUCGCGCUCAUCAAGGCUCACUUUUUCGCGCGCAUAAAGCAAAAUGUGCGCGAAGGCGAAAAAAAAACCCGAAAGCGCUUCGUGUCCUCUCUCCCCUCCCAACAAUGGCACUCAAAUUCUCUCAUUUUCUCAUGCCCUCUCUGUCACAUUCGUAGCUCGAUCUCCUUCUUCUGGGACUUAGCGUUCUGAGCAUGCGGUUUUUGCAACGGCCAUUUCGUGCCGCUUCGAUCUCAUCACCUUCUCUCCCCUCCCACCCCCCUUUUUGAUCCACACUUUGGGGCUUGCAAAUUUUUGACAUGUCAAAUGAGAGUGAAGCCAAAAUGUAAACAGCAAGUGUUUGCGUGUGCGGCGAUCUUGAUGUGAUUUGUGCCAUAUAACCUUUUCUGACGGGGAUUCUUUAGUCGACAUCGUCUGCAGCUGUUAAGCGGUGCAGAGGAAGGGGCUCGCUACGACCCUUCCCACACCCGGACGCUUUUUCCGGGGAUGAAGGAAAUGUUCCCGGCUAUAUGCGCAAAAUCUAACGGUAACCCGUGUUGUGAACGAAUCGGCAUAUGCGGUGCCGGACACUGUGGAAAUUGUACACAACGGGACGAUGUCCAGGCACGACACAAGAGUACGAUUACAUGCAACUGAUCUGCUGCAAGGAAAGGAUUUCGACGUGUGGAACAAGGAUGUGCUGAAUGCGUUCCUGAUCGAUAUCACGUGGAUAAUUCUACUGCGACUAUAAGGGAUACUUGCUGGAUUGUAUUCGUGACAGGGCCGGCCAGAAGGGUGUGGGCAAGUUGACGGAAAUUGUCGCAAUGUACCAUAGCGUUCCGGUGAUGCCAAAAGACGAAGCAGACUUCUCCAGCUACUUAUCCACGCCGAAGGAUGAACGUGCUCAGGGCAGCAAACAACUCGCCGGAGCACGGAGCGCGAAAGGCAUC